rnacentral:rRNA from 1 species
AGUGAACGCUGGCGGCAGGCCUAAUACAUGCAAGUCGAACGGCAGCACAGCAGAGCUUGCUCUGUGGGUGGCGAGUGGCGGACGGGUGAGGAAUACAUGGGAAUCUGCCCAGUCGUGGGGGAUAACGUAGGGAAACUUACGCUAAUACCGCAUGCGCCCUUCGGGGGAAAGCCGGGGACCUUCGGGCCUGGCGCGAUUGGAUGAGCCCAUGUCGGAUUAGCUAGUUGGCGGGGUAACGGCCCACCAAGGCGACGAUCCGUAGCUGGUCUGAGAGGAUGAUCAGCCACACUGGAACUGAGACACGGUCCAGACUCCUACGGGAGGCAGCAGUAGGGAAUAUUGGACAAUGGGCGCAAGCCUGAUCCAGCCAUGCCGCGUGAGUGAAGAAGGCCUUCGGGUUGUAAAGCUCUUUUGUCCGGAAAGAAAAGCAUCCAGUUAAUACCUGGGUGUCCUGACGGUACCGGAAGAAUAAGCACCGGCUAACUUCGUGCCAGCCGCCGCCGUAAUAC